rnacentral:misc_RNA from 1 species
GAUGAAGAACGUAGCGAAAUGCGAUACUUGGUGUGAAUUGCAGAAUCCCGUGAACCAUCGAGUCUUUGAACGCAAGUUGCGCCCGAAGCCAUCAGGUUGAGGGCACGUCUGCCCGGGCGUCACAUAUCGUUGCCCAAUGCCUAUUGCAGUGCAAUAGGAAUUUCUAGGGCGAAUGAUGGCUUCCCGUGAGCGUUGUUGCCUCGCGGUUGGUUGAAAAUCGAGUCCUUGGUAGGGUGUGCCAUGGUAGAGGGUGGUCGAGUUAGAACGAUACCGAUCAUGUGCAUGCUCCCCAAAAUAUGGCAUCUAUGACCCACACGCGUCUUUUGACGCUCAUGACGAGACCUCAGGUCAGGCGGGGCUACCCGCUGAAUUUAAGCAUAUCAAUAAGCGGAGGA